rnacentral:rRNA from 1 species
GGAUGCGAUCAUACCAGCACUAAAGCACCGGAUCCCAUCAGAACUCCGAAGUUAAGCGUGCUUGGGCGAGAGUAGUACUAGGAUGGGGCGAGAGUAGUACUAGGAUGGGUGACCUCCU